ensembl:lncRNA
UCAAUUUUUAACUUUUUUUAUCUUUUUUUUCCUCCUUAAAGAUGACUCCGAUUUACAUCGAGACAGUUCUAACAAAUUCAUUCCUUGUUUCACAAAAAAAAAAAAAAGAAAUUAUAUUAAAUAAUUUCUGCCAAUAAAUAACAUUUUCACCAUUUUUUUUCUCCUUUCAACAGAACUAAAAAAAAAAAAAAAAAAAAAAAAGCAAGAAAUAAAAAUAAAAAUUAAAAAGGAGGCAGUCUCCAGGCAACGGGCGUAUGAUCCUUUCAGCAUCGAGAACCCUAAAAUCAGCAUCACUGCACCCCUGGAGGGCUUCAGGUCCUCCCUGGCCGAGGUUUGGUGGGAUGUGCGUCCCUGCCAGCCCCCCUGGCCAGGCGGGAUCUGUGCCAGAGGCAGCCAGAGGGGUUCUCCCAAUCCCAAAAAGAAAAUGAAGCUUGAACUCAACCCACCACCCGCCCCAUUGCCGACUCCCCUCCUUGGACAUGCACCUUGCUAGAACAUGCAAUAAAACCCAGGCUGCGGGAGGUGGGGCUCCCCCUGGAUUUGGGGGCUCCCUGGGGUCGGGGGUCCCCCUGGGGCUCCCCUCGAUCCCGGUGUCCAAGCUCCAGGUGGCAGCCGGGAGGGGAAGGGACGGGCGGGAGCGCGGAGAUGGGGUCAGAGACAAGCCCAGCCCCGAGGCGCUGGAUUUGGGGGGAAAAGGGGGAAUUUGGGGCGUUUCUGGAUUGGUUUUUUAUUUUUUGGUUUGGCGUGGUGGGGGCCGGGGCAGGGAAUUCUGCUCCGAAGCUGUGGCCAGAAGAGGGGAAGGGGGAUUUGGGCUCGGGGCUGUGGCUUCAUGGAGAGGGGGCGUUAAUUGAGGCGGUAAUUAGCACCCAGAGCCCCAUCGCUGCUCCUCAGCCCCUCGGGAACUGCUUCAAAGGGAAGAGGGGACCUGGUUGUGUGACACCCACACCUGCCAGUGCCACAGGGACAACUUCCAGCCCUUGGCCACCACCUCUGGGGAUGGGGCAACCCCCUUUGGGGCUGGGGCAAUCAACUUCCACCCUUGGCCACCACCUUUGGGGAUGGGGCAACCAACAUCCAGCCCUUGGCCAACACCUCUAGGGAUGGGGCAACCAUCUUUGGGGCUGGGGCAACCAACUUCCAGCCCUUGGCCACCCCCUUUGGGGAUGGGGCAACCAACAUCCAGCCCUUGGCCACCACCUCUGGGGAUGGGGCAACCACAUUUGGGGAUGGGGCAACCAACUUCCAGCCCUUGGCCACCACCUUUGGGGAUGGGGCAACCAACUUCCAGCCCUUGGCCACCUCCUCCAGGGCUGGGGCAACCAACUUCCAGCCCUUGGCCACCACCUUUGGGGCUGGGACAACCAACUUCCAGCCCCUGGCCACCUUCUCCAGGGCUGGGCCGCUGGGAAGGUGCAGCCCCACCGGCCUCGGGGGUAAGUAGGGACAAAAACCCCACCCUUGGCCACCUUCUCCAGGGCCAGGACAAGGAACAUCCAGCCCUUCUCCAGGGCUGGGACGCUGGGAAGGUGCAGCUCCAGCAGCCCCAAGGAUCGGGGGUUGGAUCUGAGCCCCCAAAACACGAAGCACAACUCCAAAAGGAAUUUGGGGAGGGGGAAUCGGUGAUGCCAGAGCAGGAGAAGAGGGUGGGGGGACAAACUGCCAACAAAGCAAAUCCCCCUCUGUGAUGGGCCGGGCCCUGCUGACCCCCCCCCAACGCUGGGAACAGGGGGGGUGCCAGGCUCGGGGUCCCGCAAUUCCCAUCCCAAAUAUCCCGACUAAAACCUGGCUGCUUGGGGGAGGUCCCAGCCUGGGUCAGCACAACACGGCCGAACAUGCACGGGCAGCCCCGGGCACGGUCUGUGUGCCCGGGUAGCACACAGGAGGCCCUGAAAGGACAAAGAAAUACUCACAGACAAAAGGCAAUUUGGCCCCACUCCUCGGACUGGGGGGAGAGAAGCUCGCUCCAAACAUCUCGCACUUUUCGCAAAGCGGUGGGCGUGUCGAAAAAAAAAAAGGGAUCAAAGGGGAAAUAAAAAAAAACAACCAAAAAAGAGAAAAAAAAUAAAACAAAAAA